GCGGUGGGGAAGGUUAACCAGCCUCAGCCGCCCGUCUUAGUUCCAAGUCUAAUUGAAACUUGACAUCUUUCCCGAGUUUCACUAGCUAAUUUCCGUUCUUCUAUUUUUUGCAGUUUCGAGUUUCUGCAGUUGAUUUUCUGUUGGAGCUGUUCGGUAGGUGAUGGCUCCAAGUCAACCUAAUACUGGCCUUUUGUAGGCUU